rnacentral:sRNA from 1 species
UGAAGACUAACUUCGUUCAUAAUCUACAGUAAUCAAUUAUAGCUACUAUUAACCUUACACAGUUUGUAGUCAGUUUCCACCCCUCCUUAUCUAUUACGGCGUCGUCGCUAGUGACUCAUUUUCAAGCUUAUUGGAUCUCACCAUUGGGGACUGAAUAGCGUAGGCAUCGUAAGUGUCACGUGCGUCACGUCAGUCAGCGUAGCUGCCCGACGCUCAACUCGGAUGGUGUGGAACUCGACGAUUGAAGAUGAAGGAUUCACGCCUAGCAGCAGGGCCGGACGGAGGAAUUGCCAGGCUGACGGAACAGGCGCUGGACUUAGAAGAAAGAAUAACCAGGGCCUGAAAGAGCGGAGCUGGACUAAGGGCUGACUGAAGCGACUUAAAAGGAAAAAAAAAUGCUCGGAGGCAAGGUAGUGAGGAAGGACAACAGUAUUGAUUUUCUGGGGACUAUGAAAACUACGAAAAGCUGUCUUCCUAUGUGUCCUCCUUUUCCUUCUGCUUACUCAUCUCUCUGAAUAAAGAUGUCGCUAACUCAUGGCGGAGACAGAGCUGUCGGGCCGGAGGGGAAUGAACACUGACCAAGUGUCGGGGAAGGAGAGGAGGAUGCUGAUCAGGCGAAAAGAAAGAAGAGGCAAGCCGAAGAUGUUUUGUUGAUUUUGCAAGAGUCGGGCGGUAAAUCACUGUCGUCUGAGGUGGAGGUUGUUUGGUUACGCUGGGGACAAGAUGGAAGGACAGCCCGUCGCCUGGUUGUAGACGCCGGAGAGUGCGACUCUUACAUAACAUCGUGACAUGUCGUUGGCUUUGACGGAUCCCUCAAGGCUUCCCUGAUAUAGGGUCAGACUCAGUUAUGU